ACGUCUUGUGUAAAUAAAAUAAAAAUAAAAACAUCUGUUCUCAUCAGUUUAAUAUCUGAUACGUCCCCAAUCUGGGGACUACGUAUUAAACGGAUUUUUGGGACUGGGAGUCGGAGAAGGAGCUUGCUCGUUUUUUUUUGGGUGCAGGAGGAAGGGCGAAAUAUCUUGCUGCUGCUGCUGCUGC